GCCUUCAUGGUGUAACCGUAGCACACUCGGCGGGUAUUCGAAAGGUCUAGGUUCAAGUCCCGGCGAGGGCA
rnacentral:tRNA from 1 species